GGCCCCGCACAAGCGGUGGAGCAUGUGGUUUAAUUCGAUGAUACGCGAGGAACCUUACCAGGGCUUAAAUGUAGUCUGACAGGGGUGGAAACACCCCCUCCUUCGGGCAGAUUACAAGGUGCUGCAUGGUUGUCGUCAGCUCGUGCCGUGAGUGUCAGGUUAAGUCCUAUAACGAGCGCAACCCCUGCCGUUAGUUGCCAGCAUGUAAUGAUGGGAACUCUAACGGGACUGCCGGUGCAAACCGCGAGGAAGGUGGGGGAUGACGUCAAAUCAUCACGGCCCUUACGUCCUGGGCUACACACGUGCUACAAUGGCCGGUACAGAGGGCAGCCACACCGCAAGGUGGAG
rnacentral:rRNA from 1 species